rnacentral:rRNA from 1 species
GACGAACGCUGGCGGCGUGCCUAAUACAUGCAAGUAGAACGCUGAAGGAGGAGCUUGCUCUUCUGGAUGAGUUGCGAACGGGUGAGUAACGCGUAGGUAACCUGCCUGGUAGCGGGGGAUAACUAUUGGAAACGAUAGCUAAUACCGCAUAACAGUAGAUGUUGCAUGACAUUUACUUAAAAGGUGCAAUUGCAUCACUACCAGAUGGACCUGCGUUGUAUUAGCUAGUUGGUGGGGUAACGGCUCACCAAGGCGACGAUACAUAGCCGACCUGAGAGGGUGGUCGGCCACACUUGGACUGGGACCCCGCCCCGGCUCCUUCGGGAGGCAGCAGUAGGGAAUCUUCGGCAAUGGGCGGAAGUCUGACCGCGCAACGCCGCGUUAGUGAAGAAGGUUUUCGGGUCGUAAAGCUCUGUUGUAAGGGAAGAACGAGUGUUAGAGUGGAAAGUUCACACUGUGACGGUAUCUUACCAGAAAGGGACGGCUAACUACGUG